rnacentral:rRNA from 1 species
AGCUUUUUGUAAAUAUAAAAAGUAAUGUCUGCCCAGUGAUAAUUUAAAUGGCCGCAGUAUAUUGACUGUGCAAAGGUAGCAUAAUCAUUUGUUUUGUAAAUUAAAACCUGUAUGAAUGGCAAUACGUUAAAUGUAACUGUCUUUUUUAUAUACAUAUAAUUUAUCUUUUCAGUGAAGAGACUGAAAUUUUUUAGAAAGACGAGAAGACCCUAAUGAGUUUUAUAUAUAUUAUAUAUUUUAUUGGGGCGAUAGAAGAAUAUAUCUUCUUUUUAAUAAAAAAAAUAACAAUUAUUGAUUCAUUAUUAAUGAAAAAGGUUUAAAUUACCAUAGGGAUAACAGCAUAAUCUUUUUUAAAAGUACAUAUCGACAAAAAGGAUUGUGACCUCGAUGUUGGAUUAAGAUAAUUAUAUAGUGUAGAAGCUAUAAUAAUAAGUCUGUUCGACUUUUAAAAUCUUACA